rnacentral:rRNA from 2 species
UAGGGAAUCUUCGGCAAUGGACGAAAGUCUGACCGAGCAACGCCGCGUGAGUGAAGAAGGUUUUCGGAUCGUAAAACUCUGUUGUUAGAGAAGAACAAGGACGUUAGUAACUGAACGUCCCCUGACGGUAUCUAACCAGAAAGCCACGGCUAACUACGUGCCAGCAGCCGCGGUAAUACGUAGGUGGCAAGCGUUGUCCGGAUUUAUUGGGCGUAAAGCGAGCGCAGGCGGUUUCUUAAGUCUGAUGUGAAAGCCCCCGGCUCAACCGGGAGGGUCAUUGGAAACUGGGAGACUUGAGUGCAGAAGAGGAGAGUGGAAUUCCAUGUGUAGCGGUGAAAUGCGUAGAUAUAUGGAGGAACACCAGUGGCGAAGGCGGCUCUCUGGUCUGUAACUGACGCUGAGGCUCGAAAGCGUGGGGAGCAAACAGG